rnacentral:rRNA from 1 species
ACAUAACUGAUGCCUCCGCGUAUCGACUUUGUGCGCAUUUUAGCUAUUAUGUGUUCUUUUAAUUAAAAUGAUUCUUUUUAAGAUUCAUCUAUUAAAAAUUUGCUUCUGCAUAAUUUUUUUUGAUGAUCUUGUUACUUUGAGUAAAUUAGAGUGUUCAAAGCAAACAGAUAUAGCAUUUGUGCGUUUGAAUACUACAGCAUGGAAUAACAAAAUUGAACAAGUCAGAAUUUUUUUGUUCUUUUUUCUUAUUUUGGCUUAGUUACGAUUAAUAGGAGUAGCUUGGGGGCAUUUGUAUUCAGAUGUCAGAGGUGAAAUUCUUAGAUUUUCUGGAGACAAACAACUGCGAAAGCAUUUGCCUAAAAUACUUCCAUUAAUCAAGAACGAAAGUUAAGGGAGUGAAGACGAUCAGAUACCGUCGUAAUCUUAACCAUAAACUAUGCCGACUAGGCUUUGGAUGAAAGAUUUUAAAAUAAGAGUUUUUCUUUUCUCUCCGGAGAUUAGAACUCUUAGAUUGCUUCCUUCAGUGCCUUAUGAGAAAUCAAAGUCUUUGGGUUCUGGGGCGAGUAUUCGCGCAAGCGAGAAAGUUAAAAGAAUUGACGGAAGGGCACCACCAGGCGUGGAGCUUGCGGCUUAAUUUGACUCAACACGGGAAAACUCACUAGUUUAAGACAAGAGUAGGAUUGACAGAUUAAUAGCUCUUUCUUGAUUUCUUGGAUGGUGAUGCAUGGCCGUUUUUAGUUCGUGAAUAUGAUUUGUCUGGUUAAUUCCGAUAACGAACGAGAUCUUAACCUGCUAAUUAGCGGCAAAUACGAUAUAUUCUUAUGUAGAAUUGAAUACAGGGGAUUUGUUAGAUUUUGAAGAAAAUAUUGGAAUUACGUUAAAUGUGAUUCCUUUCCCUUUUCUACUUAAUUUACAUUUCCAUCUAUUUCUUUUUUGCGUAUGAAUGUAUUUGCUUGAUUGUAAAGCUUCUUAGAGGAACGAUGUGUG